rnacentral:rRNA from 1 species
AUUGAACGCUGGCGGCAGGCCUAACACAUGCAAGUCGAGCGGAUGAAGGGAGCUUGCUCCUGGAUUCAGCGGCGGACGGGUGAGUAAUGCCUAGGAAUCUGCCUGGUAGUGGGGGAUAACGUCCGGAAACGGGCGCUAAUACCGCAUACGUCCUGCGGGAGAAAGUGGGGGAUCUUCGGACCCCGCGCUAUCAGAUGAGCCUAGGUCGGAUUAGCGAGUUGGUGGGGUAAUGGCCUACCAAGGCUAUGAUCGGUAACUGGUCUGAGAGGGUCACCGGUCACAAUGGGACUGAGAUACGGCCCAGACUCCUACGGGAGGCAGCAGUGGGGAAUAUUGCACAAUGGGCGGAAGCCUGAUGCAGCAAAGCCGCGUGCGGGAUGAUGGCCUUCGGGUGGUAAACCGCUUUCGCCUGUGACGAAGCGUGAGUGACGGUAAUGGGUACAGAAGCACCGGCUAACUACGUG